rnacentral:SRP_RNA from 1 species
UAUGAAGGGCAAAAGGUCGGCUCGCCGCCAAUCCGGUCAGGUUCGGAAGAAAGCAGCCGUAACGGUUGAUACGAGGUUUUUGUCCCUUCGCCUUU